rnacentral:rRNA from 1 species
UACAGAGGGGGCAAGCGUUAUUCGGAAUUAUUGGGCGUAAAGGGCGCGUAGGCGGCUUUGCAAGUGACGGGUGAAAUCCCUCGGCUUAACCGAGGAACUGCCUGUCAAACUGCAUGGCUUGAGACCGGGAGAGGUGAGUGGAAUUCCCAGUGUAGCGGUGAAAUGCGUAGAUAUUGGGAGGAACACCAGUGGCGAAGGCGGCUCACUGGACCGGUACUGACGCUGAGGCGCGGAAAGCGUGGGGAGCAAACAGGG